rnacentral:rRNA from 1 species
CAAUAGCGUAUAUUAAAGUUGUUGCAGUUAAAAAGCUCGUAGUUGGAUUUCUGGUUGGAGCGACCGGUCGGGCAUUGAUUUGUCUGCACUGGAGUCGGUUCUGGCCAUCCUCUUGGAAAGUGCGUCUGUCAUUAAGUUGUCGGGCGUAUGAUCCAGGUCUUUUACUGUGAAAAAAUUAGAGUGUUUAAAGCAGGCCUUCGCCUUGAAUACAUUAGCAUGGAAUAAUAAGAUAGGACUUUGGUCUAUUUUGUUGGUUUGCAGACCGAAGUAAUGAUUAAUAGGGAUAGUUGGGGGUAUUUAUAUUCCAAUGUCAGAGGUGAAAUUCUUAGAUUUUUGGAAGAUAAACUUAUGCGAAAGCAUUUACCAAGGAUGUUUNCAUUA